UAUGCCCCUUGAGGCGUUGCAGCUCAACUGUCUGUGUUGCAGCUGUGUCAUAAGGUGGCAGAGAGAGAGAGAGAGAGAGACCGGUGGUAGUCUGCACUGAGACUCUACAAU
rnacentral:snoRNA from 15 species